AAGUAAUGAUGGUGGUUUUUCACUUUAGCAAUAAUCUUUUCUCCCUUUCACUUUCUGCAGAAGGUUCCAGCAAGUAAUAAUGGUGGUUUUUCACUUUAAUAAGCAUCUUUUCUCCCUUUCAUUUUCUGCAGAAGGUUCCAGCAAGUAAUAAUGGUGGCUUUUCACUUUAGUAGGCAUCUUUUUCCUUUUUCACUAUUUGUGUAAGGGUCCAGCAAGUAAUAAUGGUGGUUUUUCACUUUAGCAAUCAUCUUUUCUCUCUUUCACUUCCUGCAGAAGGUUCCAGCAAGUAAUAAUGGUGGUUUUUCACUUUAACAAGCAUCUUUUCUCUCUUUCACUUUCCGCAGAAGGCUCAAGCAAGUAGUAAUGGUAGUUUUUCACUCCAGCAGGCAUUUUUUCUCCCUUUCACUUCCUGUAAAAGGCUUCAGCAAGUAAUAAUGGUAGUUUUUCACUCUAUCGGGCAUGUUUCCAUUCUUUUACUCCAUGUGUAAAGCUCAUAUGGUAUCUUUUCUUUCACUCACUUUCAGAACAUCGCGAAAAAUCGAAAAA